CUUCAGCACACUGUUCGUGGACUUGGGGUGUUGGUGUGGCAGUUCUGUACCGGAAACUCUUAAGGCCUCUGCAUAUGGCUCCCUAGAGCGACAGCCCACCAGGCUCCCCCGUCCCUGGGAUUCUCCAAGCAAGAACUCUGGAGUGGGUUGCCAUUUCCUUCUUCAAUGCAUGAAAGGGAAAAGUGAAAGUGAAGUUGCUCAGUCAUGUCUGACUCUUCGCGACCCCAUGGACUGCAGCCCACCAGGCUCCUCUGCCCAUGGGAUUUUCCAGAAUUUACAAGAGCCCAAAGAAUUGAUGCUUUUGAACUGUGGUGUUGGAAAAGACUCUUGAGAGUCACUUGGACUGCAAGGAGAUCCAACCAGUCCAUUGUGAAGGAGAUCAGCUCUGGGAUUUCUUUGGAAGGAAUGAUGCUAAAGCUGAAACUCCAGUACUUUGGCCACCUCAUGCGAAGAGUUGACUCAUUGGAAAAGUCUCUGAUGCUGGGAGGGAUUGGGGGCAGGAGGAGAAGGGAACGACAGAGGAUGAGAUGGCUGGAUGGCAUCACUGAGUCGAUGGACGUGAGUCUGAGUGAACUCCGGGAGUUGGUGAUGGACAGGGAGGCCUGGCGUGCUGCCAUUCAUGGGGUCGCAAAGAGUCGGACAUGACUAAGCAACUGAUCUGAUCUGAAAAUACAUGUCUUAUUGCUUAGUGAAAGUGAAAGUGAAAUUGCUCAGUCGUAUCCGACUCUUUGCGACCCCAUGGACUGUAGCCUACCAGGUUCCACCAUCCAUGGGAUUUUCCAGGCAAGAACACUGGAAUGGGUUGCCAUUUCCUUCUCCCGGAGAUCUUCCUGACCCAGGGAUUGAACCCGGGUCUCCCGCAUUGUAGGCAGACGCUUUACCAUCUGAGCCACCAGGGAAGUCAACUCCCAAACCCCCACCCUACUCCUAUGAAUGAGCCAAUGCAUAUUUCAUUUUCUAAGUGAAACUGCAUGAGAUUUAUUAUACCACAAAUGUUCAUUAGGUGUAAGC
ensembl:lncRNA